rnacentral:rRNA from 1 species
GGUCCCGCCUGCCCUGUGACCCCUGGUUUAACGGCCGCGGUAUUUUGACCGCGCGAAGGUAGCGCAAUCACUUGUCCUUUAAAUGGGGACCUGUAUGAAUGGCAUAACGAGGGCUUAACUGUCUCCUUUCCCCGGUCAAUGAAAUUGAUCUUCCCGUGCAGAAGCGGGAAUCCUAACAUAAGACGAGAAGACCCUAUGGAGCUUUAGACCUUAGAGCAGAUCAUGUUUUGUUACCCCAUUAAGCAAGUAAUAACUAUUGAACCCCUGUUCUACUGUCUUUGGUUGGGGCGACCACGGGGAAGAAAAAAACCCCCACGUGGACUGGGAGCACACUACUCCUUCAACUACGAGCCACAGCUCUAAUGCGCAGAAUCUCUGACCAUAAGAUCCGGCAAAGCCGAUCAACGGACCGAGUUACCCUAGGGAUAACAGCGCAAUCCCCUUUAAGAGUCCAUAUCGACAAGGGGGUUUACGACCUCGAUGUUGGAUCAAGACAUCCUAAUGGUGCAGCCGCUAUUAAGGGUUCGUUUGUUCAACGAUUAAAGUCUU